rnacentral:rRNA from 1 species
UCAUCUCCGGGGGUAGAGCACUGUUUCGGCAAGGGGGUCAUCCCGACUUACCAACCCGAUGCAAACUGCGAAUACCGGAGAAUGUUAUCACGGGAGACACACGGCGGGUGCUAACGUCCGUCGUGAAGAGGGAAACAACCCAGACCGCCAGCUAAGGUCCCAAAGUCAUGGUUAAGUGGGAAACGAUGUGGGAAGGCCCAGACAGCCAGGAUGUUGGCUUAGAAGCAGCCAUCAUUUAAAGAAAGCGUAAUAGCUCACUGGUCGAGUCGGCCUGCGCGGAAGAUGUAACGGGGCUAAACCAUGCACCGAAGCUGCGGCAGCGACGCUUAUGCGUUGUUGGGUAGGGGAGCGUUCUGUAAGCCUGUGAAGGUGUACUGUGAGGUAUGCUGGAGGUAUCAGAAGUGCGAAUGCUGACAUAAGUAACGAUAAAGCGGGUGAAAAGCCCGCUCGCCGGAAGACCAAGGGUUCCUGUCCAACGUUAAUCGGGGCAGGGUGAGUCGACCCCUAAGGCGAGGCCGAAAGGCGUAGUCGAUGGGAAACAGGUUAAUAUUCCUGUACUUGGUGUUACUGCGAAGGGGGGACGGAGAAGGCUAUGUUGGCCGGGCGACGGUUGUCCCGGUUUAAGCGUGUAGGCUGGUUUUCCAGGCAAAUCCGGAAAAUCAAGGCUGAGGCGUGAUGACGAGGCACUACGGUGCUGAAGCAACAAAUGCCCUGCUUCCAGGAAAAGCCUCUAAGCAUCAGGUAACAUCAAAUCGUACCCCAAACCGACACAGGUGGUCAGGUAGAGAAUACCAAGGCGCUUGAGAGAACUCGGGUGAAGGAACUAGGCAAAAUGGUGCCGUAACUUCGGGAGAAGGCACGCUGAUAUGUAGGUGAAGCGACUUGCUCGUGGAGCUGAAAUCAGUCGAAGAUACCAGCUGGCUGCAACUGUUUAUUAAAAACACAGCACUGUGCAAACACGAAAGUGGACGUAUACGGUGUGACGCCUGCCCGGUGCCGGAAGGUUAAUUGAUGGGGUCAGCGCAAGCGAAGCUCUUGAUCGAAGCCCCGGUAAACGGCGGCCGUAACUAUAACGGUCCUAAGGUAGCGAAAUUCCUUGUCGGGUAAGUUCCGACCUGCACGAAUGGCGUAAUGAUGGCCAGGCUGUCUCCACCCGAGACUCAGUGAAAUUGAACUCGCUGUGAAGAUGCAGUGUACCCGCGGCAAGACGGAAAGACCCCGUGAACCUUUACUAUAGCUUGACACUGAACAUUGAGCCUUGAUGUGUAGGAUAGGUGGGAGGCUUUGAAGUGUGGACGCCAGUCUGCAUGGAGCCGACCUUGAAAUACCACCCUUUAAUGUUUGAUGUUCUAACGUUGACCCGUAAUCCGGGUUGCGGACAGUGUCUGGUGGGUAGUUUGACUGGGGCGGUCUCCUCCUAAAGAGUAACGGAGGAGCACGAAGGUUGGCUAAUCCUGGUCGGACAUCAGGAGGUUAGUGCAAUGGCAUAAGCCAGCUUGACUGCGAGCGUGACGGCGCGAGCAGGUGCGAAAGCAGGUCAUAGUGAUCCGGUGGUUCUGAAUGGAAGGGCCAUCGCUCAACGGAUAAAAGGUACUCCGGGGAUAACAGGCUGAUACCGCCCAAGAGUUCAUAUCGACGGCGGUGUUUGGCACCUCGAUGUCGGCUCAUCACAUCCUGGGGCUGAAGUAGGUCCCAAGGGUAUGGCUGUUCGCCAUUUAAAGUGGUACGCGAGCUGGGUUUAGAACGUCGUGAGACAGUUCGGUCCCUAUCUGCCGUGGGCGCUGGAGAACUGAGGGGGGCUGCUCCUAGUACGAGAGGACCGGAGUGGACGCAUCACUGGUGUUCGGGUUGUCAUGCCAAUGGCACUGCCCGGUAGCUAAAUGCGGAAGAGAUAAGUGCUGAAAGCAUCUAAGCACGAAACUUGCCCCGAGAUGAGUUCUCCCUGACUCCUUGAGAGUCCUGAAGGAACGUUGAAGACGACGACGUUGAUAGGCCGGGUGUGUAAGCGCAGCGAUGCGUUGAGCUAACCGGUACUAAUGAACCGUGAGGCUUAACCUUACAACGCCGAAG